rnacentral:rRNA from 1 species
UAGCUAGUUGGUGGGGUAAGGGCCUACCAAGGCGACGAUCGGUAGCUGGUCUGAGAGGAUGACCGGCCACACUGGAACUGAGACACGGUCCAGACUCCUACGGGAGGCAGCAGUGGGGAAUAUUGGACAAUGGGGGGAACCCUGAUCCAGCAAUGCCGCGUGUGUGAAGAAGGCCUGAGGGUUGUAAAGCACUUUCAGUAGGGAGGAGAGNAAUUAGGUUAAGAGCUAGAUUACUGGACGUUACCUACAGAAGAAGCACCGGCUAACUCCGUGCCAGCAGCCGCGGUAAUACGGAGGGUGCGAGCGUUAAUCGGAAUUACUGGGCGUAAAGGGUGCGUAGGUGGGUAAUUAAGUUAUGUGUAAAAUCCCUGGGCUCAACCUGGGCAGGUCAUAUAAUACUGAUUGACUCGAGUAUGGGAGAGGGUAGUGGAAUUUCCGGUGUAGCGGUGAAACGCGUAGAGAUCGGAAGGAACACCAGUGGCGAAGGCGGCUACCUGGCCUAAUACUGACACUGAGGCACGAAAGCGUGGGGAGCAAACAGGAUUAGAUACCCUGGUAGUCCACGCUGUAAACGAUGUCAACUAGCUGUUGGUUAUAUGAAAAUAAUUAGUGGCGC